rnacentral:rRNA from 1 species
GACGAACGCUGGCGGCGUGCUUAACACAUGCAAGUCGAACGGAAAGGCCCUGCUUUUGUGGGGUGCUCGAGUGGCGAACGGGUGAGUAACACGUGAGUAACCUGCCCUUGACUUUGGGAUAACUUCAGGAAACUGGGGCUAAUACCGGAUAGGAGCUCCUGCUGCAUGGUGGGGGUUGGAAAGUUUCGGCGGUUGGGGAUGGGCUCGCGGCUUAUCAGCUUGUUGGUGGGGUAGUGGCUUACCAAGGGUUUGACGGGUAGCCGGCCUGAGAGGGUGACCGGCCACAUUGGGACUGAGAUACGGCCCAGACUCCUACGGGAGGCAGCAGUGGGGAAUAUUGCACAAUGGGCGGAAGCCUGAUGCAGCAACGCCGCGUGCGGGAUGACGGCCUUCGGGUUGUAAACCGCUUUCGCCUGUGACGAAGCGUGAGUGACGGUAAUGGGUAAAGAAGCACCGGCUAACUACGUG